rnacentral:rRNA from 1 species
AUAAUCCGACGGACUACUGGGUCUGUCGGGAAAGGUGGCCUCUACAUGUAAGCUACCGAACCGAGAUGAGCCCGCGUCCUAUUAGCUUGUUGGUGGGGUAAAGGCCUACCAAGGCGACGAUGGGUAGCUGGUCUGAGAGGACGGCCAGCCACACUGGAACUGGUACACGGUCCAGACUCCUACGGGAGGCAGCAGUGAGGAAUAUUGCGCAAUGGGGGAAACCCUGACGCAGCGAUGCCGCGUGGGUGAAGAAGGCCUUCGGGUCGUAAAGCCCUGUCAAACGGGAAGAACAGUUUGGGGACGAAUAAUCCUCAGGCCUGACGGUACCGUUGAAGGAAGCACCGGCUAACUCCGUGCCAGCAGCCGCGGUAAGACGGAGGGUGCGAGCGUUAUUCGGAUUUAUUGGGCGUAAAGAGUGU